GACGAACGCUGGCGGCGUGCUUAACACAUGCAAGUCGAACGGUGAAGGGACCAGCUUGCUGGUUCUGGAUGAGUGGCGAACGGGUGAGUAACACGUGAGUAACCUGCCCCCUUCUUCUGGAUAACCGCAUGAAAGUGUGGCUAAUACGGGAUAUUCUGGGUCUGUCGCAUGGCGGGCCCGGGAAAGAUAUUGCUUCGGUGGUGGAUGGGCUCGCGGCCUAUCAGCUUGUUGGUGGGGUGAUGGCCUACCAAGGCGGUGACGGGUAGCCGGCCUGAGAGGGUGGACGGUAACACGGGGACAGAGACACGGACCAGAGUACUACGGGAGGAAGAAGUGGGGAAUAGUGCACAAGGGGCGCAAGCCUGAUGCAGCGACGCCGCGUGAGGGAUGGAGGCCUUCGGGGUGUAAACCUCUUUCGCCAGUGAAGCAGGCCUGCUCCUUGUGGGUGGGUUGACGGUAGCUGGAUAAGAAGCUCCGGCUAACUACGUG
rnacentral:rRNA from 1 species